GGGGUUAAUAGGCGUC
rnacentral:rRNA from 1 species